rnacentral:rRNA from 1 species
UACGGAAGGCAGCAGUGGGGAAUAUUGCACAAUGGGCGAAAGCCUGAUGCAGCUAUGCCGCGUGUAUGAAGAAGGCCCUAGGGUUGUAAAGUACUUUCAUCGGGGAGGAAAAACAAAACUAAUAAUUUUAUUUCUUGACGUUACCCGAAAAAGAAGCACCGGCUAACUCCGUGCCAGCAGCCGCGGUAAUACGGAGGGUGCUAGCGUUAAUCAGAAUUACUGGGCGUAAAGAGCACGUAGGUGGUUUUUUUAAGUCAGAUGUGAAAUUCCCUGGGCUUAACCUAGGAACUGCAUUUUGAAACUGAAAUACUAGAGUAUCGUAGAGGGAGGUAGAAUUCUAGGUGUAGCGGUGAAAUGCGUAGAUAUCUGGAGGAAUACCUGUGGCGAAAGCGGCCUCCUAAACGAAUACUGACACUGAGGUGCGAAAAGCGUGGGGAGCAAACAGGGAUUAGAUACC